UGAAGACCUAAAGUACACAAAUAUAAUCUGACAGAAUACUGUAAGUUAAAAAAAAAAAAAAAAGCUAAUUUUCUCAAUGCCAAGAUCUCUCCUUAUAGCCCAGUUUUCUGCAGAUGAGUAUGUAAGUAAAUGCAUUGUUUUCCAUAAGAUUCAUACUGGUGAGGUUAAGAUGCACUAUUCUCAGGUCAGGGUAAUGUUUGUCUUCUGAAGAGAAGUGUUCAGCAUUUAUUUAUUUAUUUAUUUACUUUUCUUACUUCUGUAACAGCAAGUGCAGUAAAUAUUGUGUUAUAUGAGAAUGACUGAUAGCAGAGAGACUGUUACAAGCUGUUCCUCUUAGUGCAAUGUAGGCUACUUUCUGUUAGGUAAGUAGAAUGCCUUUCAAGGUAAAAAAGUUGCAGUUUCUUUAAGUCUUUACUCUGAGAUAUAAACCUGUUCUUUAAUAAUAUAGUCAGUGUGUAGCCUUGUUAGCACAGCCUCCCAAGACAGUAUUUCUUUAUCCUAAUAAGGUGAAAGAACUUGUAGUAUAAUAACUCACUCUGCAACUAGGUUAACUUCAAUUUUUUAUUAAGACAGAGGCCAUUAAGCUGUAGUUGCAGUUAGAUACAGAAAAAAUCAGUGUUAACCAUAUCAAGAUUUUCUCUGACACCUUCCCUACAUUGCUUUACAUAUUUUUUAGUAAUACUUAAGAAAUAUUUCUCUCAAGUGUCAGCGUGAUCGCUUUCUUAUAACUAUUUUGCGCUAGAAUUACCUCGGCAAUGUAUGACUCUGCAAAUGAAAAAACUGAUGUACUGAUCAGCUUUAGUCAGCUACUAUAGCUCAGGUCAGCUUUUGGGAAACUCAGUAAUGUUCUUGAGCAUUCACUGAUUGCUUCACUUGAAUCCAAGGACACCCAGCAGUAAACAGCAGAGGACCCAGAGGAGAGCAAGCAAAGCUGAAUUAGGAGCAGUUUGAGCAUCUCCAGUUCCUGAAAGUUAUGGAUGCUCAAGACAUUCUGAAUUUAACUUAAUGAGAUUAGUCUUUUGCUUGAAUUCACUAAUCCGCAGUGACUACAAUAUAAAAUCUUGCAAUUCUGUUACAACAUACCACCUACUUGCUCUUUCUUGGCCUCACAAAUUGUUUCUCUGAGGGGCUGCUACGAAAGAAGAAUAUACUUUUAUACCAGGAACUACCAUUUAAGUUAUCUCCUUCCAUCCAUAAUGCUGUUUUACAGACUGAAAUAAGAAGAGCUGGUACUGUUAAAGGAGCUCUCUCAAUCCUUUUUACUGGUGUUUUCCUGGAAAAAAAAAGUCACAGUGUUUGUUUGUUUUACAGUUUAUUUUGUUUUAGUUUUACUUGUGUUCAGCAAAGAUUAUUGACACUGAAAAGUGAAAGCCUGAGAAGAAAUGGAGGAGCCCAGAAAAAAUACUGGAAAGAAAGAGAAAGAAGGAUUGAAAGAAAGUCAAGAGAGAAGUACGCUAAGAAGCUGAGAGAAUUCAAGCUUCAGUUCCCAAAGAAGAGGGGCACCAAGAGAAUGGCCUGGUGGGAGCGCGUCUGUUAGCUGCGCCCAACUCACUGCAGCAUCAGAAACCGUUCACAGACACUCAGCCACUUCACUGGAAAGAAGUAGAUUGAACACAAGUAGCUUUGAGCUUUGCUCUCGUGAUUGAAGCCAGCUCACGUUUAGGUACCGCUGGACAAAACGGAACCGCGCGUCUCGAUAUCUGUCUCCCCUAGAGUAAGAAAUAGGUAGCAGUCCCUUAAUUCUUCUAACUUAGUUUAGAAUCAGUUAAUUAAUCAGUAGCUGUGACUAAUUACUCACUUCCAAUUAACCUGGAAACUGUUACAAAAUGAAGCCAGAGAACAUGACUUCCAUGGUAACUGGUAAGUUUCUGCAGUGAAUUGGUGACGCAACCUAUGUGAUAUUACAUACCCUAUCUACGCUUGCCUUGACAAUAGGGAAGGUGAUUUAUUUUGUAGGUUUGUGUCGUGCAGCUUUAUUUAUUUAUUUAUUUUAUUGCUUAUAUAGUCCUUCUACCAACUGUGCUGUUGUAUUUCAAGGGGAGUUUAUGGUCUGUAUUUUUUUACUUGUUAGAAUACUAGCUUGAAAAAGUUAAUAAACCGUGCAUGGGUCCAGCGAUGUGACCAUUGACUAACUUGAACACUUUGCCUUGCUGAAGACUUGAAAAUCGCCAGGGAUACGAAUGCAUUGCUUGUACAAUGAAUACUUUUCCAAAGCUGAACAGAAUGUCAUCAAAAGAAAAGCUGACCAAAAACUACGUCAGUGCUCAUCUCUUAACUUAGAAAUGGCUUACAUUCCUGUAUCUAUGUGAUGUAAAAC
ensembl:lncRNA